UUACGAGGAAAGUGUGGUUGAAGAAGGGAAUUAUUUUAAAAGCUAAGCAAUCGAGGUUGAGCGGCGAUGGGGAGGACGGAUGUUGAGCAGUUAAAGUCAAAAUGCGUUUCACUUUGUUUUGGAUAAUGUCGUGUCGUCAUACCCGGCAUUAUCUGUCUCUUGAUCUUUUUCCGCUGCUUGUAAUCCGAAACAAUGUUUUCAUUUAAACUCUGGUUACUUAAACUUUUGAAAUGUCGCUACA